rnacentral:rRNA from 1 species
GACGAACGCUGGCGGCGUGCUUAACACAUGCAAGUCGAACGGAAAGGCCCUGCUUUUGUGGGGGUGCCCGAGUGGCGACCGGGUGAGUAACCCGUGAUUAACCUGCCCUUGACUUUGGGUUAACUCCAGGAAACUGGGCCUAAUACCGGAUAGGAGCUCCUGCUGCUUGGUGGGGGUUGGAAAGUUUCGGCGGUUGGGGAUGGACUCGCGGCUUAUCAGCUUGUUGGUGGGGUAGUGGCUUACCAAGGCUUUGACGGGUAGCCGGCCUGAGAGGGUGACCGGCCACAUUGGGACUGAGAUACGGCCCAGACUCCUACGGGAGGCAGCAGUGGGGAAUAUUGCACAAUGGGCGGAAGCCUGAUGCAGCAACGCCGCGUGCGGGAUGACGGCCUUCGGGUUGUAAACCGCUUUCGCCUGUGACGAAGCGUGAGUGACGGUAAUGGGUAAAGAAGCACCGGCUAACUACGUG